rnacentral:rRNA from 1 species
AUUGAACGCUAGCGGCAUGCCUAACACAUGCAAGUCGAACGAGUGGCGGACGGGUGAGUAAUGUAUGGGAAACUGCCUGAUGGAGGGGGAUAACUACUGGAAACGGUAGCUAAUACCGCAUACCAUCGGAUGUGCCCAGAUGGGAUGAGCUAGUAGGUGGGGUAAAGGCUCACCUAGGCGACGAUCCCGAGCUGGUCUGAGAGGAUGACCAGCCAGCAUGGGACUGAGGCACGGCCCAGACUCCUACGGGAGGCAGCAGUGGGGAAUAUUGGACAAUGGGGGAAAGCCUGAUGCAGCCAUGCCGCGUGUAUGAAGAAGGCCUUCGGGUUGUAAAGUACUUUCAGCGGGGAGGCGUUAUCUGCAGAAGAAGCACCGGCUAACUCCGUGCCAGCCGCCGCGGUAAUUC